rnacentral:rRNA from 1 species
CGAGCGGACAGAAGGGAGCUUGCUCCCGGAUGUUAGCGGCGGACGGGUGAGUAACACGUGGGUAACCUGCCUGUAAGACUGGGAUAACUCCGGGAAACCGGAGCUAAUACCGGAUAGUUCCUUGAACCGCAUGGUUCAAGGAUGAAAGACGGUUUCGGCUGUCACUUACAGAUGGACCCGCGGCGCAUUAGCUAGUUGGUGAGGUAACGGCUCACCAAGGCGACGAUGCGUAGCCGACCUGAGAGGGUGAUCGGCCACACUGGGACUGAGACACGGCCCAGACUCCUACGGGAGGCAGCAGUAGGGAAUCUUCCGCAAUGGACGAAAGUCUGACGGAGCAACGCCGCGUGAGUGAUGAAGGUUUUCGGAUCGUAAAGCUCUGUUGUUAGGGAAGAACAAGUGCAAGAGUAACUGCUUGCACCUUGACGGUACCUAACCAGAAAGCCACGGCUAACUACGUGCCA